rnacentral:rRNA from 1 species
UGGGGAAUCUUGCACAAUGGGGGAAACCCUGAUGCAGCGACGCCGCGUGAGCGAUGAAGGUUUUCGAAUCGUAAAGCUCUGUCCUAUGGGAAGAUAAUGACGGUACCAUAGGAGGAAGCCCCGGCUAACUACGUGCCAGCAGCCGCGGUAAUACGUAGGGGGCGAGCGUUGUCCGGAAUUACUGGGCGUAAAGGGUUCGCAGGCGGCAUGACAAGUCCGAUGUAAAAGGCGAAAGCUCAACUUUCGUAAGCAUCGGAAACUGUCAGGCUUGAGUGAAGGAGAGGCCAGUGGAGUUCCUCGUGUAGCGGAGGAAUGCGUAGAUAUUAGGAGGAAUACCGGUGGCGAAGGCGACUUGCUGGACUUCAACUGACGCUGAGGAACGAAAGCGUGGGUAGCAAACAGG